AGAGAUUUUUAGAGCCAUCUAGAAAUGAUAAUACAUAGGAUGACAACUCCUCUUACUAGGAGUGAUCGAUUUCUUGUUGACCUACUUACAAUCUCCAAGCACAUUCCUUCAUAUCCAGAAUAUCCUGUUCAUGACUUAAUUGUUAUGAGUGAGUAUGAACCAUAAUAUGAAUUUCUAUACACAAGAUUCUAUAAUGAUCUCAGGU
rnacentral:lncRNA from 1 species